UGUCAGUCGACUAUGCCUUCCGGCGUCCGUACUAUAUUGCUUUUUUUUCUUCAGCCGUUGGCGCCAUUCUUCAAUAAGUACCUACCAAAUAACGAAACAAGAUUUAAUUCUAUUAUACCAAUAUCAUGACAAAGUAUAAACCGCUCCGUAUGUUAAACUUUUUCAAUCAAAUAAACAUAUUUUAAAGAAAUUUGAAAGAAAAAUAUGGUAAUAUAUUAUUUCAUAAUAAUAUCUAUAAAAUGGCCGAAUUGUUACAAUGGUAUUAUAUAGUAUGUGUGUCAUUGGUUUUCAAAUCCAUCAUAUUGCUAUACAUGUAAUAAAGUCAUGUCGAGAUCUCUUAUAAUAUUAUGAUGCACUAUGUGACCGC